UGGGGAAUUUUGGACAAUGGGCGAAAGCCUGAUCCAGCAAUGCCGCGUGUGUGAAGAAGGCCUUCGGGUUGUAAAGCACUUUUGUCCGGAAAGAAAUCCUUGGCUCUAAUACAGUCGGGGGAUGACGGUACCGGAAGAAUAAGCACCGGCUAACUACGUGCCAGCAGCCGCGGUAAUACGUAGGGUGCAAGCGUUAAUCGGAAUUACUGGGCGUAAAGCGUGCGCAGGCGGUUUGCUAAGACCGAUGUGAAAUCCCCGGGCUCAACCUGGGAACUGCAUUGGUGACUGGCAGGCUAGAGUAUGGCAGAGGGGGGUAGAAUUCCACGUGUAGCAGUGAAAUGCGUAGAGAUGUGGAGGAAUACCGAUGGCGAAGGCAGCCCCCUGGGCCAAUACUGACGCUCAUGCACGAAAGCGUGGGGAGCAAACAGGAUUAGAUACCCUGGUAGUCCACGCCCUAAACGAUGUCAACUGUUGUUGGGGAUUCAUUUCCUUAGUAACGUAGCUAACGCGUGAAGUUGACCGCCUGGGGAGUACGGUCGCAAGAUU
rnacentral:rRNA from 1 species